GGGGUCAUGGUUUAGUGGUAUAAUGUUCCCUUAGCAAGUUCUACAAAGCCUGCAGUGCUCAGUAGGAUCCGCCUAAUUGGGAGAGGUCGCGAGUUCGAUUCUUGCUGACUCCA